CCACUGCUCUCCAGGCUGGCGACAGGGCAAGACUCCGUCUCAACAACAACAAAAAAAGAAGUGUUGAGUAACCAGUGAGCUGACAAGCCCACCACGUGGAGGACUCGGGCUGUGAGAAGCUCGGCAGGAAGGCGGGAGAGGCCCCACCUUCAGAGGCGCAGCUCAGAAGGCUUGAGAGCUCCCCGUGAAAGGGAUCCCUGCAGUGCAGAAACUGUCUCUGUUACCUGCAUUGCUCUGAACAAAACCGACCCAGAGCAGUUUCAGUGAUGGUGAUAAUCUCAAGCAAUGCCAUUACCAAAUCUUAAUGCCCUGAUCCUGGCCACCUUUGAGGAGGUAA
ensembl:lncRNA RNF216-IT1 RNF216 intronic transcript 1